rfam:Rhizophagus irregularis DAOM 181602 strain DAOM 197198 GLOINscaffold_588_Cont592 mitochondrial, whole genome shotgun sequence.
UUACAUUCUUCAUGCUGCUCUUAGUCUGUGGAGAUAAUUUUCUAGUAAUGUUCAUUGGUUGGUUCCUCUCAGCCUACCUAUGUCGUAAGAUGUAUGGUUAAAUAUCACUAUAUACUGGAAUAUCCUAAAACCUAAUUUACCUUGAUGGUAACAAUAAUUAGGAUGUAAAAUGGACAAUCAGUAGGAAACCGUAUAAGAAUGGGUUCCUCAGAGACUAAACGUGAUGCCCCUGGUAUAUAUCAGGGUGAUGAUAUAGUCCGUUCUUAUAUUGAAAGAUAUAA